rnacentral:rRNA from 1 species
AGUGAACGCUGGCGGUAGGCCUAACACAUGCAAGUCGAACGGCAGCACAGUAAGAGCUUGCUCUUACGGGUGGCGAGUGGCGGACGGGUGAGGAAUACAUCGGAAUCUACUUUUUCGUGGGGGAUAACGUAGGGAAACUUACGCUAAUACCGCAUACGACCUACGGGUGAAAGCAGGGGAUCUUCGGACCUUGCGCGAUUGAAUGAGCCGAUGUCGGAUUAGCUAGUUGGCGGGGUAAAGGCCCACCAAGGCGACGAUCCGUAGCUGGUCUGAGAGGAUGCAGGCCAACAUGGAAAUGGGGACCCGGCCCGGACCCUAAGGGAGGGAGGGGGGGGGAAAUUUUGGAAAAGGGGGGAAGCCUUGACCCGGCCAGACCGGGGGGGUAAAGAAGGCCUUGGGGUUGUAAAGCCCUUUUUUUGGGAAAAAAAAGCAGCAGGUUAAUCCCCCGCUGUUCGGACGGUACCAAAAAAAAAAGCACCGCCUAAUUUCUG